GCUGGUCCAAGGUCACUUCUUAUUGGUUUUACAACACCUAUAAGACAUAAAUGUUGACUAUUUUCACUAUCGUGGGCGGGGGGUGGGGGUAGGUAUAUAAACUGGACAUAUAUCCCAGUAGAAGUGACAAGUGACAGCCAAAGAGGCCCAAGGGCAUAGCCUUGAGAUGACCAAGAAACAUCCCUAUGAGUUAUGGACAGAGUUAGGGAGGACAAAGCCCCCAUGGAAGCCGG
rnacentral:lncRNA from 1 species